rnacentral:rRNA from 1 species
UACGUAGGUCCCGAGCGUUGUCCGGAUUUAGUGGGCGUAAAGCGAGCGCAGGUGGUUUAUUAAGUCUGGUGUAAAAGGCAGUGGCUCAACCAUUGUAUGCAUUGGAAACUGGUAGACUUGAGUGCAGGAGAGGAGAGUGGAAUUCCAUGUGUAGCGGUGAAAUGCGUAGAUAUAUGGAGGAACACCGGUGGCGAAAGCGGCUCUCUGGCCUGUAACUGACACUGAGGCUCGAAAGCGUGGGGAGCAAACAGG